rnacentral:rRNA from 1 species
CAAGCGUUGUCCGGAUUUAUUGGGCGUAAAGCGAGCGCAGGCGGAAAAAUAAGUCUGAUGUGAAAGCCCUCGGCUUAACCGAGGAACUGCAUCGGAAACUGUUUUUCUUGAGUGCAGAAGAGGAGAGUGGAACUCCAUGUGUAGCGGUGGAAUGCGUAGAUAUAUGGAAGAACACCAGUGGCGAAGGCGGCUCUCUGGUCUGCAACUGACGCUGAGGCUCGAAAGCAUGGGUAGCGAACAGGAUUAGAUACCCUGGUAGUCCAUGCCGUAAACGAUGAGUGCUAAGUGUUGGGAGGUUUCCGCCUCUCAGUGCUGCAGCUAACGCAUUAAGCACUCCGCCUGGGGAGUACGACCGCAAGGUUGAAACUCAAAGGAAUUGACGGGGGCCCGCACAAGCGGUGGAGCAUGUGGUUUAAUUCGAAGCAACGCGAAGAACCUUACCAGGUCUUGACAUCUAGUGCAAUCUGUAGAGAUACGGAGUUCCCUUCGGGGACGCUAAGACAGGUGGUGCA